rnacentral:lncRNA from 1 species
UUCUUUAGAUUAAGAAUCAAUGUAUUUCAUAGAUGUUUUUGUUUACGCUUGAAUAUCGUAAAGCAGCUGCACAUAGAAGUUCAGUAAAUUCUAAGCUAGACCAGACGAACAUCCACAAGGUCUGAGGACCCACCGGAAUCAGAGCGGGAUAUUACUUCUGUUUGGAGCCGCUUUGGGGUUGGAUUUGUUUCAUUUCGGACCAGAAUCAGGAAUUGUUCCAGUAUCCCAUGAUUGCUUUGUGUCUGGGGACAUGGUAUUUUAAAACGGGGGACGCAAAACUUGUCAGGGUGAAGCCCAGAGGUUGGAAAUGCGCUCGGUAAUGUGUCACCGCCGACCCCGUUGCCGUGUGAGGGGCAGGAAGCGGCGGCGGCGGCUCCAGCCCUUCCGGGUCGGCGGGCGGGCCCGGGCCGAGCGCGGAGAGGGCGGCAAGAGCGGGAGAGCGGCGCCGUCGCCCAUCCGGGAUAUGGAUAAAAGCAAGGAUGAAAAAAGUAGGACGCUGUGUGCAACUUCAGAAGAAGGGCUGAAGGUCCGAGGAAAAGAAAAAAGGAAACGAAAACGCAGCAGAAGCAGGUCAUCGUCUGUUUCAUCCACAUCGUCUUCUAGCAGCACAUCCACCUCUUCCUCUUCAUCACGCUCUUCAUCGAGAUCAUCUUCUUCGAGUAGUAGAGAUUUUCCUAAGUCUAAAUCGAAGAAAAAGAAAAAAGAAAAACACAACAAAAAGAAAAGGAAAAAAGAGAACAAAAUGAAGAAAAAGAAAGAAAAGAAGAAAAAGAGAGAGAAGGCAGGACCUGUCCAGCUUUCCAAGUUCUUUAAAAACAAAAAGAAGAAUGAAAACUACAGCAUGAUAACCGGAAAGAAAAUUAAGAUGAAAAUUAAGAAGACUAAGGAAGAUAUAGAGAGAGACCGGAACCGUGCGCAGCUCCUGGAAUUUCUGAACUCUGCCUUGUAACGGGAAGAGUGCUGGCCAAGGACUUGGAGAUACACCAAGUCAAUGAUCAUCAUGCCUAGCAAAACACUAAAGGGAAACUCAGGGAAAAGGAUGCCAAGUUCAACAAGACCAGACCCUCCUGCUGAGAAGACAAUCGGGAUUUCCUUUUUUAAUGGCAAAAUGAAGAGUAGCUAAUAACUUGCUAAUGAAGAUCCAUGUCCUCCUUUUGAGAUCCUAAG